rnacentral:rRNA from 1 species
AUUGAACGCUGGCGGCAGGCCUAACACAUGCAAGUCGAACGAGUGGCGGACGGGUGAGUAAUGUCUGGGAAACUGCCCGAUGGAGGGGGAUAACUACUGGAAACGGUAGCUAAUACCGCAUACCAUCGGAUGUGCCCAGAUGGGAUUAGCUUGUAGGUGAGGUAACGGCUCACCUAGGCGACGAUCCCUAGCUGGUCUGAGAGGAUGACCAGACACACUGGAACUGAGACACGGUCCAGACUCCUAGGGGAGUCAGCAGGGGGGAAUAGUGAACAAUGGGCGCAAGCCUGAUGCAGCCAUGCCGCGUGUAUGAAGAAGGCUUUCGGGUUGUAAAGUACUUGCAGCGGGGAGGCGUUACCCGCAGAAGAAGCACCGGCUAACUCCGUGCCAGCCGCCUCUGUAAUAC